rnacentral:rRNA from 1 species
CCUACGGGUGGCAGCAGUAGGGAAUUUUCGGCAAUGGGGGGAACCCUGACCGAGCAACGCCGCGUGAAGGAAGAAGGAAUUCGUUCUGUAAACUUCUGUUAUAAAGGAAGAAAGACGGAUGGAGGAAAUGACAUCCGAGUGACGGUACUUUAUGAGAAAGUCACGGCUAACUACGUGCCCGCAGCCGCGGUAAUACGUAGGUGGAAAGCGUUAUCCGGAAUUAUGGGGCGUAAAGAGGGAGCAGGCGGCAGCAAAGUUCUGUGGUGAAAGACUGAAGCUUAACUUCAGUAAGCCAUAGAAACCGGGCAGCUAGGGUGCAGGAGAGGAUCGUGGAAUUCCAUGUGUAGCGGUGAAAUGCGUAGAUAUAUGGAGGAACACCAGUGGCGAAGGCGACGAUCUGGACUGCAACUGACGCUGAGUCCCGAAAGCGUGGGGAGCAAACAGGAUUAGAUACCCUGGUAGUC